rnacentral:piRNA from 1 species
UAGUGUCUCAGUCCCUCGUGGGGCAAGUUG